CAAAUCACACAAAUAAAAGAAAAAGUUAGAAACUGGGUUGCCUCCCAGCAAGCGCUCUUUUUAUGUCACUAGCUUGACCCGAUAGAGUUCAAACACCCAUCAGUAGGUGUUGAUACUCCCCUCGCUUGAUAUUCUUUUCUUUUUCUUCUUCCUACUGAAUUUCUUCAUAAAGUUGAGAACACCAAGCACAUAUCCCCAUGUAUCAAUCAUAGGAACUUUAAUCUCCAAUUUCUUGAAGAUCUCCAUAAAGCACUUAAACCUAUCUUCUUUCCUAUGAUAUUUCUUUUGAGGAAGAGGUUCUGCAUAUAAUCAUUUCUUCUUACCUCUCUUCCUCUUCUUCUCACUCUUCUCCCUUAACUUUCUCUUUUUCGUUUUUCUUUCUUUCUUUAUUUUCACAAUUUUUCUUUUUUUUUUUUCUUUUCUCUCAACCACUAUUUUUUUCUUAUCAUCAUUUUUAUCCCCCUCACUUAACUUUUCUUCUUCCUCUCCAUCUCUCUCUAUCCCUCUCUUCUUCUUAUCAACAACCUUAUCACUUUCAGAGAUAGUGGCUUGAGAUUCCUUCCUAUGGUUAACUUCAGUACUAACCUUAGAAUUAUUCAGAGAUGCAGUCACGUAAUUUAGUUCUAUCUCCUUCCUUGCGUCAUCACAUUCUGAAAGUAAAUAAUAUUCUACAGUACUUGUUGGAAUGUCUCUUCACGACUUUCUGAUGGAGAUAGUUGCUGCCAAUGUUGUUUAUUUUCCUCCAACCAUUGUUGUUCAGCUUCUCUGAAUGUUUUUCUUGGCAUAGAGGAUUGUUUNUGCCAAAGACAUCGUUCAACUUCCUUCUCUCUUUCUCUAAGUGUAGGAGAAUAUUGUUGCCUUUGGCGCUCUGCUUCUUUAAGUGAAGGACUAUAUUAAUGUCUUUGACGCUCUCAUAACUCCUCACGUUUUUCCAUCUCCUCCAAACUUCUGACGAAAGACAUAUUCAUACUUGUCAUCCGCUGAAUAAAUUCAUCAUCUGUGGUAUCCCUG
rnacentral:lncRNA from 1 species